rnacentral:rRNA from 1 species
AACGAACGCUGGCGGCAGGCUUAACACAUGCAAGUCGAACGGGCCCUUCGGGGUCAGUGGCAGACGGGUGAGUAACACGUGGGAACGUGCCCUUCAGUUCGGAAUAACCCAGGGAAACUUGGGCUAAUACCGGAUACGCCCCUUGGGGGAAAGAUUUAUCGCUGAAGGAUCGGCCCGCGUCUGAUUAGCUAGUUGGUGAGGUAAAGGCUCACCAAGGCGACGAUCAGUAGCUGGUCUGAGAGGAUGAUCAGCCACACUGGGACUGAGACACGGCCCAGACUCCUACGGGAGGCAGCAGUGGGGAAUAUUGGACAAUGGGCGCAAGCCUGAUCCAGCCAUGCCGCGUGAGUGAUGAAGGCCUUAGGGUUGUAAAGCUCUUUCGGCGGGGACGAUAAUUACGGUACCCGCAGAAGAAGCCCCGGCUAACUUCGUGCCAGCCGCCGCGGUAAAAC